UGGAUGACCUGCCCUUUAGUGGGGAAUAACCCGGGGGAAACUCGGGCUAAUACCGCAUAAGACCGAGAGGUGAAAGCGGGGUCGCAAGAUCUCGUGCUGAAGGAGGGGUCCGCGUUCGAUUAGCUAGUUGGUAGGGUAAUGGCCUACCAAGGCGACGAUCGAUAGCCGGCCUGAGAGGGUGAUCGGCCACGCUGGAACUGAGACACGGUCCAGACUCCGUACGGGAGGCAG
rnacentral:rRNA from 1 species